rnacentral:snoRNA from 1 species
CGAGCUGGUGAUGAUCUCUUACCACAGUUCCCGCGAUUUCUAUGAGCGUUAUGAACAACAUGCACUACCAUCUGAAGCUUU